AAGCACUGUAUUUGAACCUGUGGAGUCCCUUCAUGACUCAGUGGGUCAAGCAACAGUGCAACAUUAAAAGCUUGUUAUAACUGGAGCCUCUUGGAUUUCCCCCCAGGUUGCUCUUUUAAAAGCAGUCGACAACU
ensembl:snoRNA